AAAGAAUAAAAAUAUUAUAAUUUAAAAAAUCUUGAUAAAAUUUUGAAAUUUCAAAAUAUUGAGAAUUAACUUUAAAAUAUGUUAAGAGACAAAUUUAGAAAAUUUGAAAAUAAAUAGGGACUUAUGUGCAAAUUUUUUAAACAUAUGUGAACCAAUUUAAGAUUCAUACUUAAUAAAAUAAGAGAGAAAAAUUAAAUUAUUAAUUAAUUAUAAAAAAAAUCAACAUAUAUGAACUAAUUUGAGAUUCAUACUUACUUAAUUG
rnacentral:lncRNA from 1 species